UAGAGAUAUUGAGGAACACCAGUGGGAAGGCGACUGUUUUGUUUGUAACUGACACUGUGGCGCGGAAACGUGGGGAGCAAACAGGAUUGAUACCCUGGUAGUUCACGCCGUAAACGAUGAGUGCUAAAUGUUGGGGGGGUUCCGCCCCUCAGUGGUGCAGAUAAAGCAUUUAGCACUUCGCCUGGGGAGUACGGUUGCAAGACUGAAAAUCAAAAGAAUUGACGGGGGGCCGCACAAAAGGUGGAGCAUGUGGUUUAAUUUGAAGCAACGCGAAGAACCCUUUCAGGUUUUGACAUCCCGGUGGACAAUAAUGAGACAUAGUUUUCCCUUUGGGGGCCACGGUGACAGGUGGUGCAUGGUUGUUGUCAGGUUGUGUUGUGAGAUGUUGGGUUAAGUCCCGCAACGAGCGCAACCCUUAUUUUUAGUUGCCAUCAUUCAGUUGGGCACUUUAAGGAGACUGCCGGUGAUAAACCGGAGGAAGGUGGGGAAGACGUCAAAUCAUCAUGCCCCUUAUGACCUGGGGUACCCACGUGGUACAAUGGACGGUACAAACGGUUGCCAACCCGCGAGGGGGAGGUAAUUCGAUAAAACCGUUUUCAGUUUGGAUUGUAGGGUGCAAAUUGCCUACAUGAAACCGGAAUUGGUAGUAAUCGCGGAUCAGCAUGCCGCGGUGAAUACGUUCCCGGGCCUUGUACACACCGCCCGUCACACCCCGAGAGUUUGUAACACCCGAAGUCGGUGGGGUAACCUUUAUGGAGCCAGCC
rnacentral:rRNA from 1 species